rnacentral:rRNA from 1 species
ACCAAAUUCUCAACGAUGGAUAUCUUGGUUCCCGUAACGAUGAAGAACGCAGCGAAGUGCGAUAAGCAAUGCGAAUUGCAGAACCGUGAGUCAUCAGAUCUUUGAACGCAACUGGCGCUAGUUGGCUCUCCAGCUAGCAUGCUUGUUUCAGUG